AACCCCUGAAUUUUAACAAUUUUGAUGAAUUUCCUUAACUUUACUCGAACCAACAAAAGCGUAAAGGUUUCAUAACAAAGAUCAUCCUUGUUCUGAAUGUGGCUAUUCGUAUUUAAGCAAAAUCCAUGUUCCACGGUUUAAUAGCCAUGUCUCAAUUAAGCAUUGAGAAAAGCCUCAAAUAUCCUCAAAUACAAUUGUAAAAACUUUAAGCCAACAUGUCGAAACUACAACUUUUCUUAAAUUCAAGUUUAUUAGCUGGCUCCUGUCUCAUAAGAAGUUUAGUCUCAAGGCGAACAACUGAAAAACCAAAAAACAAAUCCAAAACUGAGCGGGUGUCAAGUUUAAAAAUGCAUUUUAUCGCUCAAUUUAACACACACCAACUAUAACAACAACAACAAUCCAGUAUAAUCCCAUUUAAUGGGGUCCAGGGAGAGUAGUGUGUACGCAUAUCUUACCCCUACCCUUGGGUAAAGAGGCUGUUUCCAAAUAGACCUCUGGCAUCCUUCCCUCCAAGAACUUCUCACCUUCCUCUUGGGGAGACUCGAACUCACAACCUCUCGGUUGGAAGUGGAAUUGGAAGUGGGAGUUGCUUACCAUCAGAGCAACCCCUCUUGUCAUAGCACACACCAAUUAUGAGGUUGCAAAAUUAAACUUCAUCAACAGAGCCCAAAAGAAGAAGGGAAAAAACGAUGAGGAAAAUCAGCCAUGACAUUGCAAAAUUUAGAAGGUAAGGAGAAUCGAGAAAAAGCAUGAAAAUAAAUAAAGAUGUAGAGUAGACAAAAAAAAGAACAGAACCCAUGAAAUUUGAGUAAGCAUUGUACACUAUACCAAAAAAAAAUCAUUUUAAAUUAGGCUUAAUGCCCAUACCAGUACUAUCAACGGACAGAGAUUUGAGAAGCCAUUGAUCUCAACAACAAAAAACUCCAUGUGGGCUGAAACUAAUUGAAUGAGCAAAAGAAGGAGAAACAAAUGCAAAACUACAAAUUUGAAGUGGAAGAGGGUACAAAAGAAGUAUGAACAGAACACAUGAAACUUGAGUAAGCACUGUAACACUAUACCCAUAAUUUUCUUCCUUUUAAUUAGGUAUGAUACCCAUACCAGUAUCAUUAUUGAUCUCAACAAAAAAAUUACAUGUCGGGUGAAACUAAUUGGAAAAGCAGAAAAAGGAGAAACAAAUACAAAAUUACAAAACUGAAGUUGAAGAUUAAGGGAUUGUUUAAUAUAUCAUAUGCACAGCAUAAAUCAUGGGCAAAAUUGAUUAAAAUCGUAUUUGUAGGUAGAAGGAAUUUGAGGAAGAUGAAGAGAAUUGGAGAAGCAAUCGAGAAUUUGAAAGUUUUUUUUUUAUGCACAAAGAAAUCGGGUGAAAACCUAAUAUGCUCCCUAGAACACACGUGCACUCAUUCCACGUACAGUCGACGUGAAAUGACUUAACUACCCCCAAGCUUUUAUAAAAAAACUUUUAAGCACACAGGUCGAAACCACUAGCUUUUCUAAUAUAUAGUAAUAUAUUACCAAAGUUCUCAUCAAAUUUUUUAGUUUCCCAUUUGGUCGCAGAUAUUUAUUUUAGCAUCCACUUAAUUUAAAGUCGCAACAAAAUAUCCUACUUUAAGGGGUACAAUGCUCCAUACUUCGUAUAAUAUUUUUAUCAAUGAAAUUAUGAAGGGGAACUAUGGAGCAACAGUAAAGUUGUUUCUGUGUUAUAGAAUUUGAACCGUGAAAUCAGUCACUGAUAACUAUAUUAAGGGAAAAGCCAACCCACUUAUAUCGUGGCCCUUUCCGAUUCUAUGUGAACUCGAAAUGUUUCGUGUGCCAAGCCAUCAAUGGAACUUUGCAAGACCUACUUCUAGAAAAGGAAAAAGACGAGUAACACGUGGGUUACAUACGUACGUUUUUAUUUUACUUAUUUCUUUUACAAAUGGUGCAAAAAGAAAAGGAAAGGGAAGAAGUGAAAGAGAGGGGGAAUUGUGUUUGUUGACAGACCACCUACUUAAUGACAUCACUAAUCAAAUCAAAGUUUGGCUUUUUAGAUUUCUCUAACUAAUCUAAUCAAAGUUUGUUUUUGUAGGUUUCUCUAACUAAAGUUGUAGUUAGAAUUUAGAACCUAUCAAAUCAAUAACAUUAUUACUUUAAUAGACACGCCAAACAUAAGAAGACUUUUGUAAUCUUUAACUACAUCAUCGCUAUAGACAUAAUCCUAUUACUGUUCUUACAAUAUUUUAAUUCUAAUCUUUAACCACCACAGUCACUUUUUGAAGUUUUAACCAUCAUCCAUUCAAUGACCAAAUAACAAACCAAGUAUCUAUUUGCUAUAUUGUGCAGAUUUUCCGAAAAUAUCCCUAAUGCGUGUUAGAUUCUCCAAAAUAGUAUAUUUUGAAGGAUCCGAUAUGAGUGCGACAACAUUUUGGAGAGUUCGUGCACCAUAGUUUAUUAGUGACUUAUGGUGUAGGAUUUUUAAUUUCACCAAAGAUUUUCACCUCCUCCAAUGUAGGAAUUUUAAUUUCACCAAAGAUUUUCACCUCCUCCCACUGUUUUGGAGCAACGGUAAAGUUGUUUCCGCGUGACCUAUAAAUCAAAGGUUCAAGCCGUGGGAGCAGUCACUAAUGCUUGUCGUCUACAUCACACACUUUGAGAUGUAGCCCUUUCACAGAUUCUGCUUGAACGCGGAAUGCUUUAUGCAUCAGGCUGUCCAUUUUGACCUCCUCCCACUAUUCAUGAGUACAUCCCCAAUAAAAAACGACAACCCAGUGCAUUAAGCUCCCGCUACGCCAGGGGUCUGUGGAAGGGCCGGCUACAAGGGUCUAUAGUACGUAUUCUUACCCUGCAUUUCUGCAAGAGAAUGUUUCCACGACUCGAACCCAUAACCUCUUAGUCACUUGGCAGCAACUUUACCAGUUACGCCAAGGUUCUCUUUCGGUACAUCCCCAAUAAAAGAACAAAAAAAGUACUACUUCUAUAGUAAGCUUCUAGUCCUAAUCAUACAUACCCUUGCUGCAAUGAGGAAUGAAUCAGAUAUGCUAUCUUUCUAACCUUCAAGUUUUAUCAAUUCUUGAAAAGAAUCUUAAAAGUUUCCUUUUCUGUUAAACAGAGAUGUUUUCACUAGUUUUGGGCGCAUCUAACAUUAGAGUAUAACGAGUAUAAUGAGUUUUUAUACCAUCAUGUCAUCAAAAGGAUAUCUACAGGUAAACCUUCUUAAAAUAUUGAAUUUGUAAAUUAAACUGACAAUGCAUAUCGCUUAAACUCUUAACUCGAAGAGCACAUAUUUCCUUUAGUAAGUGUGAGACAAAGAUAGGUGGUAAUAUAAUCAUAACAACAAACUUCAGUUUGUUGGAUAUAACAUCUUUGAAUGUUAAGUAAAAACCAUAAUAUUGAUAUUUCCUUGAAAAUAAAAGAUAUAACUAACUCAAAGAAUUAUUUGCGCUAUUUCUGCUGGAGUUACUAAUGCUCUUUUGUUUUUGUUUUUCCUUUCCUUAGUACUCCAGAGAGGCUUACGGUAUAUUUCUCAAUUCUUCAAUUUAACUAGUUGCUUUUUAAAUGACAUUGCACAGAGUAUAUCAAUAAAUUUAUUAAAGGGUGUCUUCGAUCCACUAGUUGCUUUUGACCUGUGUUUUGGAUUGUGUCUUUCUUAUGGUAGUUAUUUAUGGUAGUUAAUGUAUGAUAUUAUUGCAUGCUAUUUUAUUUAUUUAUUUAUGGUUCUUAUGUUUAGAUAACUAUUUACGCCAUUUCUGCUGGACUUACUAAUGCCCUUUUGUUUUUAUUUUUGUUUUUGUUUUUCCCUUUCCUUCACUGGGCCGAGGGUCGAUUGGAAACAGCCUCCCUGCCCUUUUGGGUAGGGGUAAAGCUCGUCUACAUAUUACCCUCCCCAGACCCCAUUUUGUGGGACUAUACUGGGUAGUAGUUGUUGUUGUUGUUGUAACUCAAAGAAAAAGACUUAAAAUGUAAGCAUUAUUCAUGAAAAUUUAUGCUGUUAGAGAUAGGCUAAGUGGUUGAACCAACACCUUCUACAGGGUGUUGAACUAAGUUUUUGAAAACAUAAUGUGGUCAAACUAAGAUUACUUAAUUCUCUCUUCUUUUCUCCCUAUAAAACCAUAGCCUCAACUCUACUAUCUUUCACAAACAAGCAUUGAAUUGCAUCUACUAAUACUCAAAAAAGAGUUUUAAGGAAAGGAAAAAAAAAUGAAGGCUUUUAAUAGUAUUGCUAACCCUUUGAGUUCUUUCUUCUUUCUAUGCAUUUUGCUUCUCUUGGCAAAUGCAGCAUCUGCAAAAAUUCACAACCAUAAUUUUGUUGUAAGCUAUCCAAGAUUUCCCUUCGUUAUUUGCUAAGGUGUCGUAAGUUUUACAAACGCUUAUGAUACUGACCUCUGUUUUAUUGUAACAGAUUCAAGCAACACCAGUGAAGAGGCUGUGCAAAACUCAUAACACCAUAACGGUGAACGGACAAUUCC
rnacentral:lncRNA from 1 species